CUAUUGUUCAGGAAACGCUCGCUCCAUCAUCACCUGAAGUUGUUUUUGAGGUGCUACAGGAAUUCACUCUCUUCACUAAACCACCCACAGAUGCUGCUGUGAAAGCUUCGCUCAGUGGAUCAUCUACAAACCAGAUAAGACCCUUCUUUCUCGGCUGGGAUCGUUUGAAGCUGCAUUUAAACUGCAUUUUUCGGGGCACCAUAUCAGUCCAUUAUAUGGAGAAAAAUGCUGAAAUUUCUUUAUGACUGAAGAAAGAAAGACAUGAACAUCUUGGACGACAAGGGGGUGAGUACAUUAUAUGUGAAUCUUUGUUUUGGAAGUGGACUUCUCCUUCAAGUUGAAAUGACCAAGCUGAUUAUACUUGGAAAUUAAAGCAGCAGCUGAGUGUUUUUAAGUUAAAAAAGGUGAAAUAUUUGUACAUUUAUCUGUAAAUAUUUUUACAUUUAGCUUUAAGUUAUCUGAAAAUAAUGUGAUGGAAAGUCUUUGAUUUAUUUUUAAUUAAAAAUAUGUCUAAAGCAUAUUA